CUCAAGAAACUACGAAAGGAAGUUGACGGGGCCCGCACAAGCAGAGGAGCAUGUGGUUUAAUUCGAUGAUACGCGAGGAACCUUACCUGGGCUCGAACGUAAGAUGACUGUAGGUGAAAGCUUACAUCUCUUCGGAGCAUUUUACGAGGUGCCGCAUGGUUGUCGUCAGCUCGUGCCGUGAGGUGUCGGGUUAAGUCCCAUAACGAGCGCAACCCCUACCUUUAGUUGCCAUCAGGUUAAGCUGGGGACUCUAAAGGAACUGCCUACGCAAGUAGUGAGGAAGGCGGGGAUGACGUCAAAUCAGCACGGCCCUUACGUCCAGGGCUACACACGUGCUACAAUGGCCGAUACAGAGGGCAGCUACCUGGCGACAGGAUGCAAAUCUCCAAAGUCGGUCUCAGUUCGGAUCGGAGUCUGCAACCCGACUCCGUGAAGUUGGAUUCGCUAGUAAUCGCGCAUCAGCCAUGGCGCGGUGAAUACGUUCCCGGGCCUU
rnacentral:rRNA from 1 species